UACGUAGGGUCCGAGCGUUGUCCGGAAUUACUGGGCGUAAAGAGCUCGUAGGUGGUUUGUCGCGUUGUUCGUGAAAACUCACAGCUCAACUGUGGGCGUGCGGGCGAUACGGGGCAGACUAGAGUACUGCAGGGGAGAUUGGAAUUCCUGGUGUAGCGGUGGAAUGCGCAGAUAUCAGGAGGAACACCGAUGGCGAAGGCAGAUCUCUGGGCCGUAACUGACGCUGAGGCGCGAAAGCGUGGGGAGCAAACAGG
rnacentral:rRNA from 1 species